ACAAUGCACACGCAGAUGAGGAAACAGAACCUCUUAAUAUACAUGUUCUCCACUAAUCCUACUACUCCCAGCCUUCUAGAAGAGAAUCUUUCUCUUGCUCCCACCUUGUGAAGGUAGAGAAGAUGUUUUCAAUAGACCCUUGGCUGUUUCUAUAAACAUAAAAGGGGUUAAAAUUUAAGAGUCUUCGACCGAUUUAAUUAAGAUCUAGACUGGUCGAUUUAUCUUUGAGGUUAAAACUACUAACUAAACAUGAAAGCUGCAUGCAAAAUUUUAAGUAAUUUUUUAGGUGAUGAAGGUCAUUUGUUAAGCAAGUGGUAAAUUUUCUUUCUCAAAAGCAUCCUCUUAUAAAGAAGAGUUAAAAGUUUCUUCUGAAUGUUUUAUAUGUUUUUCAAACUAAGGUUAAAUUCUAAGCAAUUGUAUUUUUUUUUUUGCCAAUGCCAGGUAUCCAAAAGAUCACUGCCCAUCUCAUUUGGAUGCUAAACUUUUUGGAGUGGCGAUUGUCAUAGAGAAAUGUUUUGGGUCUGUUGAGGACAAUCAGUAUUGCACUACUAUAUGUGAAGCUUUGAGGAGGCAUUUGAAUUUACGGGCUUAUCUUGAGCGCUUGCAUACCCUACUGAUCCUACCAUUGGAGUAUCAGUGUCACAAUUAUGGUGCUGCGAUUAUGGAUAAUCCUAAUUUCAUCAAUGAUUGUCUUUCACCAUCAAGACUCUGCAAAAAGCAGCGGUGAUCUUUAUCUGUAUAGCAGUAAAAGCGGCCAAAAUCCAUUAGGCUUGGAUGGCGAAUAUUUGUUGAAGGUCUCCACUGACUUUGAGAGGGAGCUCUCAAUGGGGAAACAAAAUCUAUUCAAAUCUGUCUUGAGGCUUGUGGGGUAUGGCAGAUUUUGGGGCGACGAUGGGAGAGAAAGGGCAUUCUUGGUUUUUCCGCUAAAGAAGAAGGGGGAUCUACAGAGAAAUAUCAAAGGUAUUUUUCAUUCUGUGUCUAUUAUCUUUAAUCAAAUAGGAUUACCUGAUGCUCGUGUUCACCAUCAAACUAUAGUAGCUGGUAGCUGAAAAAAAAAAGGAACAUUCAUAUCCUCACCACUUUUUGACAUAUUCUGUGUAAUUUAAUUUACAACAGUACCAAUAUGGUGCCAAAAACUUUCGGGCCAUACAUUAUUUUGCUUGUUCUAGAGAACCUGUCAUACUACUGGUAUGUAAAUAUAUUUUCCCUUUACAUGAAAAGUACAGGGGACGCUUCCCAAUUACUACAUGAAAAAUGGCUAUUAGCAAGGAAAAUGCAGUUCCUAAAAGCUUGAUUCUGGUCCCUAAUAGUCAUACCGACAAGAUAAAUCUACUCUCCAUUGGGGGCGUCCACUAGAUCUUCUUCGAUUUGAUUUUGUAUUAUUUUGAUUUUGUUUUUCAGAUUUUCGUUAUGAAAAAUUUAUCCAAUCCACACAAAAUAAAUUUGGUUUGGUUCA